GCACACAUAUCUCACAACAAUGACUAAAGUUGACUAUAAAAUACAAAUUAGUAAAAUUAUGCUAAAAAUUGAAGUAAUUAAGUUUAAUAUAACUUUGUAAAAUGUUCUGUUUUCUUAUAAAUGGGCCACAAAAGGCAAUAGUGACAUUUUCAAAUAAAUUUGAUAUAUUUGUUUGUAGUGAGCUGACAGCUCAAAGAUAACUCCA
rnacentral:misc_RNA from 1 species